GGGAGGGCUGAAGGCAAACCUAUGAUGAAAAAAGAAAAGAAAAAAUAAGAACAAAAAAUAUGAAAAAAGAGAAAAAAAGAAAAGAAAAAUAAGAAAAAGAGAAAAAAUGAAAAGAAAAAAAGAAAAAAAUGAACAAAAAGAGUAAAAAGAGAAAAAAAUGAAAAAAGAGAAAAAAGAGAAAAGAAAAAAAGAACAUGAACAAAAAGAGAAAAAAGAGAAAAGAUAAAAAAAGAAAAAGAUAAAGAAAAGAGAAAAGAAAAAAAGAAAAUAGAAAUAAAAAAGAGGACAGAAAAAUAUGAAAAAAAGAAGAAAGAAAAAAAGAAAAGAAAAAAACAGUAGAUGAAAAAAGAAAAAACAAAAGGAAAAACGAAUAAUGACAAGAGAAGAAAGAAAAGAAAAAAACAGUAGAUGAAAAAAGAAAAAACAAAAGGAAAAACGAAUAAUGACAAGAGAAGAAAGGUAAAGAGAAAAGAAGAAAAAAGCCAAGUCAAAAAGUAAAGAAUAACUCGAAGGAAGGAGUGGAUGGCAAGAAAUACAGAGAAAGCAGUGCAUAGCACAGCAGAGCAAAGCAAGGCAAAAUAGCAGCCAAAGCCACGAGAAUCAAGAAGUCAGUGAAGAGCAGGAAAGGAGCUGCGCGGGAGGAGAAGAACGUGGGCCAAAAGGUAAGAGGAGCUCCUUUGGGUUCUGGGCUUGAAGCAAAGCUGAGAAGCCAUGCCCGGGAGGAGGUGUGGGUAGCUACAGGCCACCUUGCUAUCUCCCCAAGAGAUGAGGUGCGUGGGCUAGGCACCGGGCAGGAGUGCUGGCCAGAAGCAAGCAUCUCUGUGGAGGAAGGCAAAGGGCGGAGGAGGUUCAAGGGUAGCUACCGGGCAUGGCCUUGCUCAGCAAGGGGAGGAAAAGCCUGAAGGGCACGAGAAGGGGAUAGAGAAGGGCAGGCAGUAGGCGUGAAGCUGCGAGCAGAGUAGAGAGC
ensembl:lncRNA